rnacentral:rRNA from 1 species
AGAGUUUGAUCAUGGCUCAGGACGAACGCUGGCGGCGUGCCUAAUACAUGCAAGUCGAGCGGACUUGAUGGAGUGCUUGCACUCCUGAUAGUUAGCGGCGGACGGGUGAGUAACACGUGGGCAACCUGCCUGCAAGCCUGGGAUAACAUUCGGAAACGGAUGCUAAUACCGGAUACGCAAUUUGGUCGCAUGACUGAAUU